AGAUUGAACGCUAGCGGCAUGCCUAACACAUGCAAGUCGAACGGUAACAGGCCCUUCGGGGUGCUGGACGAGUGGCGGACGGGUGAGUAAUGCGUAGGAAUCUACCCACGAGUGGGGGAUAGCCCGGAGAAAUCCGGAUUAAUACCGCAUAUGCCCUACGGGGUAAAGCGGGGGAUCGUAAGACCUACGCGGCCUGGGUCGGAUGAGCCUACGUCCGAUUAGUUAGUUGGUGGGGUAAAGGCCUACCAAGGCUACGAUCGGUAGCUGGUCUGAGAGGAUGAUCAGCACACUGGGACUGAGACACGGCCCAGACUCCUACGGGAGGCAGC
rnacentral:rRNA from 1 species